rnacentral:rRNA from 1 species
GUGAGGAAUAUUGGUCAAUGGGCGAGAGCCUGAACCAGCCAAGUAGCGUGAAGGAAGACUGCCCUAUGGGUUGUAAACUUCUUUUAUACGGGAAUAAAGUCAUCCACGUGUGGAUGUUUGUAUGUACCGUAUGAAUAAGGAUCGGCUAACUCCGUGCCAGCAGCCGCGGUAAUACGGAGGAUCCGAGCGUUAUCCGGAUUUAUUGGGUUUAAAGGGAGCGUAGGCGGGCUUUUAAGUCAGUUGUGAAAGUUUGCGGCUCAACCGUAAAAUUGCAGUUGAUACUGGAAGCCUUGAGUACAGUAGAGGCAGGCGGAAUUCGUGGUGUAGCGGUGAAAUGCUUAGAUAUCACGAAGAACUCCGAUUGCGAAGGCAGCUUGCUGGACUGUAACUGACGCUGAUGCUCGAAAGUGUGGGUAUCAAACAGGAUUAGAAACCCCAGUAGUCC